UGGGGAAUAUUGGACAAUGGGCGCAAGCCUGAUCCAGCCAUGCCGCGUGAGUGAUGAAGGCCCUAGGGUUGUAAAGCUCUUUCACCGGUGAAGAUAAUGACGGUAACCGGAGAAGAAGCCCCGGCUAACUUCGUGCCAGCAGCCGCGGUAAUACGAAGGGGGCUAGCGUUGUUCGGAUUUACUGGGCGUAAAGCGCACGUAGGCGGACUUUUAAGUCAGGGGUGAAAUCCCGGGGCUCAACCCCGGAACUGCCUUUGAUACUGGAAGUCUUGAGUAUGGUAGAGGUGAGUGGAAUUCCGAGUGUAGAGGUGAAAUUCGUAGAUAUUCGGAGGAACACCAGUGGCGAAGGCGGCUCACUGGACCAUUACUGACGCUGAGGUGCGAAAGCAUGGGGAGCAAACAGG
rnacentral:rRNA from 1 species